AGAAGGAACAGAGGGCCAGGACUGGCAUUUGGACAUGCAGCUGCCCAGCAAGGUGGUGCUGUCCGCAGCUGUGCUGCUCCUGGUAACUGCAGCCU
rnacentral:miRNA from 1 species